rnacentral:rRNA from 1 species
UACAGAGGUCUCAAGCGUUGUUCGGAUUCAUUGGGCGUAAAGGGUGCGUAGGUGGGCAGGUAAGUCAGCGGUGAAAUCUCCGAGCUUAACUCGGAAACUGCCAUUGAUACUAUCUGUCUUGAAUAUCCUGGAGGUGAGCGGAAUAUGUCAUGUAGCGGUGAAAUGCUUAGAUAUGACAUAGAACACCAAUUGCGAAGGCAGCUCACUACGGGAUUAUUGACACUGAGGCACGAAAGCGUGGGGAUCAAACAGG